rnacentral:ncRNA from 1 species
GUUUGAUCUUGGUAAAAGAUUUUUCUUUUUAGUAUUUUUAUACAUGAGAGAUAAUUGCGUUACUUAUUUUAUAAAGUAUAAGGUUGAUAAUAGUUUCAGUAUAUGAAGUUGGUUUAUAAAUUAGAGUUUGAGUCAUAAAUUUUUAAUUAGUUCAGGUAAAAUUUGUGCCAGCAGCCGCGGUUAGACUUGGUGAGCAAAAGAAAAGUAUAGGUAUAGUGAUUAGAGUGUUGCUUUAGAAUGAUAGUUUUUUAUGGUGGGAGAGGUGAAAUUUGACAAUCGUUUGAAAUUUACGUGUUUUUAAAGCGUUUUCGAAGUUAUGAAGGUUUAGAUAUAAAAUAAGAUUAGAUACCUUAGUAUACUAGACUUUAAAUGAUUAUACUUGAUUAUUAAUUAGUUAUUAUCUAUAAAUUUAAAAGAUUUGGCGGCGUUUUAGUCCGGUUAGAGGAACCUGUUCUGUGAACGAUAAUCCACGAAGUAUCUUACUUUACUUUGUUAUUCAUUCAGUUUGUAUAUCGUCAUUAUGAAGUAGUUUUUAUAAAAAUUUAGUGAGAUAGAUUGGUUAGUAGAUUUGGUGACUGAUUUAAUAUUUUAGAUCAAGGUGCAGCAAAUAGUAAAGAAAGAAAUGGGUUACAAUUGUUUAAGACAAUAACGGAUUUAUGUUUUAAUAAAUAUAAUGAAGGUGGAUUUAAUUGUAAUAAAAUUAUAAUAAGUUUUUAUGAUAAUGGCUCUAUUAUGUGUACACAUUGCCCGUCGCUCUCAUUAUAAGGUGAGAUAAGUCGUAACAUAGUAGGUGUAUCGGAAGGUGCACCUGGAAUUUAUUAGAU